GAUGAAGAACGCAGCGAAAUGCGAUAAGUAAUGUGAAUUGCAGAAUUCAGUGAAUCAUCGAAUCUUUGAACGCACAUUGCGCCCUCUGGUAUUCCGGGGGGCAUGCCUUUUCGAGCGUCAUUAUAACCACUCAAGCUCUCGCUUGGUAUUGGAGUUCGCGAUCUCGCGGCUCCUAAAAUCAGUGGCGGUGCCUGUCGGCUCUACGCGUAGUAAUACUCCUCGCGAUUGAGUCCGUUAGGUUUACUUGCCAGCAACCCCCAAUUUUUACAGGUUGACCUCGGAUCAGGUAGGGAUACCCGCUGAACUUAAGCAUAUCAAUAAGCGGAGGA
rnacentral:misc_RNA from 1 species